AGAGCUCAAAUUUGAAAUCUGGCUGCCUUUGGUGGUCCGAAUUGUAAUUUCGAGAAGUAUUGCCCGUGCCAGACCGUGCAUAAGUCCUCUGGAAAGGGGUAUCAUAGAGGGUGACAAUCCCGUCUUUGGUACGGACUACUGGUGCAUUGUGGUAUGCUCUCAACGAGUCGAGUUGUUUGGGAAUGCAGCUCAAAAUGGGUGGUAAAUUCCAUCUAAAGCUAAAUAUUGGCGUGAGACCGAUAGCGAA
rnacentral:rRNA from 1 species